GUGAAAUACAACAUGAUUAGGCCACUUGGUUCUAUAGAUAAGCUUUCUUCUUUGCAUCAAAUGAAGACGAGAGGCAGUGUUGUGUACAGGUAACACCCAACGAGAUAGAACGAGUUGGAGAUGCAUGGGAGGAGUAGGCAAUCCUAAUCUCUCAGAGAUAAACUCAAGGUCUAAUAAUCAUAGAGGUUAAGAGUGUAGCAAAUGAUAAGGAUUGAUGGAAGGAAGAUUAAGACUCUUUCCAAUGACAAAUAGUGAAUAGGGAGGGCUUGUGUUGAGAACAUGGGGAUGUUAUUAAAUAUUGUCAAGGGGAUGCUAAAAGGUGAUGUAAAGGGAGAGUCUAGUGCAAAGAAAAUGCAGCAAGAGACAGUGAUCAUUGAAAAUUAAGCCACAAGGAUCCAUCAUAAGAGAGGCAUUUAUAGUGAAAGUGGCAAAAUACUAGAUGGGUAAGUUUUGUAAACACAAGUAAGAUCAACAUCCAAUGAAGACAUGCAGAUUGCAUUAAAGCCUGUUAGGAAAGGUUCAGCGAUAUGAGUUCACUAUUAAUACGCCCCACUAUGAGCUUACCAGGCUGUGUCUCCUAAUCAUCAUCCCGUAAUCAAUUAUUAUUUUAUAGACCUCGCCACUAGUCCUUCAUCCAUGUGAACAUAAAUAAACAUAAUUAUCCAAUUUAAUGAAAAAUAUAUAAAUUUUUAAUGCAUCUACAAU
rnacentral:misc_RNA from 1 species